rnacentral:pre_miRNA from 1 species
AACCUUUUGUAUUCUUGCUGAAAUUUCAUCAGCAAUCAGUUCAUUAGGGCUGAUGCGAAUUCCCAAAUAAGUGAAGUG